rnacentral:rRNA from 1 species
CACGUAGGGCGCGAGCGUUGUCCGGAAUUAUUGGGCGUAAAGAGCUCGUAAGCGGUCUGUCGCGUCGGAUGUGAAAACCCAGGGCUCAACCCUGGGCCUGCAUUCGAUACGGGCAGACUAGAGUUCGGUAGGGGAGACUGGAAUUCCUGGUGUAGCGGUGAAAUGCGCAGAUAUCAGGAGGAACACCGGUGGCGAAGGCGGGUCUCUGGGCCGAAACUGACGCUGAGGAGCGAAAGCGUGGGGAGCAAACAGG